AUCUUGGGCGAGAGGAGUGCGCGAUGCCUUUGCUCUGAGCUGGGGGCUGCGGGUCCCUUCCUCGCCGCCUCCGUGGGCGCAGCCGCCCCGCAGCCUGCAGCUCCUGCUAAUUGCGGCUCCGGCGUCCUGUGCUCGCAGCGCUGGCCACCAGCGCGAGUUGUCCGCGUGCUUUCCGAAUUUUGCUGCCCUCCGGCGGGAACCACUCCCCUCCCCUACAGGGAGCCCCUUGCUCACUUGUUUUCCACUGUAGUUUUCUUCUUUCCUUCCUUCCUUCCUUCCUUCCUUCCUUCCUUCCUUCCUUCCUUCCUUCCUUCCUUCCUUCCUUCCUUCCUUCCUUCCUUCCUUUUCUUUCUUUUUUCUUUCUUUUCUUUUUUUCCUUUUGGCCGCGAAAAUAGAGUUUGGAGCUUGGCUUUUGUGUGUGGAUGUGUUUCUGCCUUCCAGAUCCCAGAAGCAGGGAAGAGGGCUGGGGAGAAGGCAGAAGAGGAUGCUCUGGGCAAACUCUCUCCAAGAACAGAUUAUAAACUGAUAGAAGCUAAAAUCGAGAAGGGAGACAUAAUGAGCUAGCUUCGUUUCCUCCUCUCCUGCCAGCUUCCAAGGAGGUCUCGGGUUUUAAUGAAUCAUUGAUUUCUCGCUUCCGUUGCUGAAGUAAAAAGUUCACACUUUGGCCCUCUCUGUCUUUUUAAGCUCAGGGAGAUUUAUCGUCACCCUUAAACAUAGCCUCUCUCUUGGCGCAAAUGAAAUCAGGGACCCAGGUUACUGAUUUCUAAUUGGUAACACGAGUCCUUUACAGAAUCACGCAUGGACUUCAAAGCCUACGCACUUUCCUGCGAUCGCAGAUUUUAUCACAGAGUUUGACCAAAUCCCCUGCUGCCUGUUUUUUUUCCUCUAUGCAAUUUCCUUUGCAUUUUACCAUAAAGAGGAGGUCCCCGCCCAUCUUCAAACUUAAUGUUUAAAGGGCUCUACUUUACAACGCAGCUUCACUACCUACCGACCUUUCACAAACACUCUUGUGCACACCAACCCCCAACUCUACCCCUGCUCUCAGAAACAAACUUUCAACCCAGACACAGACAGAAGUCAGCACAAGACCAGGAAACUAUUGCCCAAAACAAAAAGGUACCAGGAGGAAACAUUGUAAUAAUCCAUUCCUACCUGAGUAUGAUACAAUUCUGAGUACCAGAGAUCAUUUCCUUAAGAAAAAUAUCUAAACUAGGGAACGGCUGGCUGGAAGGAUUGCAUGAACAUAUAUUACUCUGUUGUGGGAGGCAGUUAGACAUCUGUGUUCUGGCUAAGCAAAACAAAUGGUCAAUAUCAUACGGUGGUGGUGAUUUCACAUGAUUCAACCUAAAUGGCUGAGGGAGAAGCAGAGGUUUCAAGGUGAAUUUGAGAGUUAGCAACUGGCAUAGUGAUUCAGAAACAAUUUACAAAAGGAGCUUGCACACACAAGCCAGGAACCCUGUCAUGCGCACUGGGUUUCAGUCUUCACUGGGAACUGGAGAAAGACAAUUAAAAUUCAAAAGUCUUAGAGAUAGACGUUGUUAAUGAUUCCCCAAAUACAUUUUAGUGGUUUGAAUGCAUGCUCUUCCAUUUCUCUGUGUGUUCACUGCCUUUGAAAUAGAACUACUUAAUAAUACCAGAAUCGAGAUUUUUAAUUGCAUUAUUUAUAACUCAUUGCAAUGCUCAUUCAAAAGAUUUCAACAACGUGACGAACAUCACAGCAGAUUUCUAACUUUAAUAUGAUUAGCUGAUUUCUGUAGCUAUUAAUUGAAAAGUUAAGCAAAUAAAGAGCAUGCGU
rnacentral:lncRNA from 1 species